UCUUUCUCCUGUGAUCAUCGGCAUGAUAGGAGGCGAGUGAGGAACUCAGUGUCUUCUGACACAGGCAUCUCACAACACCAGUGCAGCCGGACCGUUGUCUGGUAGGUCUCUGUGCACCCAGGAGGACCUGGGCCUGCGAGAAGUCUGGGGCCCACUGCUGGGUAUGCUCGUUUCUUGAGCAUCCGAGUCACCUUUACAGUCUGCGAUGAUUGACGAGGUCAAACAGGACUCACUUGCAUUGCCGGGUCUCUGUGGCGACAGGGAGGACUUGGAGACCAGCCCUGUCAACACCUUCAUCUUGUUUCACAUUUGUGAAGGUCGGGGAGGCAUCUGGAGCUUCUUGAUGUGUCAGCUCGGAAUGCUGCCUGUGGGCUGGGUCGGCUUCAGGCCUGCAGGUCAAGAGAGAAGCACAGACAAAGGCACCACAGAGAUGCACAGUGACACUCAAAGAGGCAGCGAGACAGAGAUGAAGGCGUCGUGCUGUGAGAGCCAUCGCCCGGCAGCAUCCCCUCUCCUGGGUGUGAAUUAUGUCCUCCAAGGGCCUCAGCCACUGCAGCUUGAAAGUUACUUUUAUGCUAUUUCCUUAAAACCAACAAGAACACUUGACAUUUCUAGGAGGCUUUGAGUAGAGAACACUGGUGGUUCUCGUUGGUUGUGUAACUCUGCCAGGAAUUUAGAAUAUUGUUAGAAUCUUUAUUACAUUUCAGCCUGAUAAGGAGAUGAAAUAGCUAAUGAAUCCACUAAAAAAACUGCCAAGUAGCAAAGCUGGAAACUUUGGCCUUUGGUUGUCGUAUAAUAACACACCCCAGGCACAGAAGGUUUAGCACAUUUUUCCUUACUAAAACACAAAACAACAACACCAAUAACCCAAUGAGGAGUCUUCAACUCCUCCCACCCCAUAGCCCUGGGCUGUUCAUCUGCAAGUCAUUGUGUUAAUAGUUUUUGUUUGUUUGUUUUUUAGCAUUUGGUCUUCUAGAUUUGCUUAGAAAUCCAUGGAUUGGGGCAAGCCACGGGGAGCAGUGCCGUGCCUUUGCCUUUGUUGUGUGGAGUGACAGUCCCCGUGGCUGCAAGUCCUCACAAACCAGAAUGGGCAUGUUCCGGUGGAAAGGGAAGCAUUGUCUGCCUGGAAGAACCAGUCACCUCCAGUGGCUGGGAAUGUUUGUGCUUACCCACAGGGCAUGGGAAUGUAUGUGCUUACCUAGCCCAGAAGAGCUAGAGAGAAGAGCCUAGGUAUAAGACAAGGAGGCUUGUGGCAACUCCAAAGGGUCCCCUCUGGUUCUGGAGUGGAACUUACUAGAAAUGAAAGGGAAGUUAAUAGCUCCCUCAUCAGGGAUCUCAAUGUGUGUUUAGGUCCAGAAAAUCAAGGUUCUGGGUGCUCUGAUGGCAACUGUGCUGAGUGUGGCUGUCUGAACGCACCAGGGCUCAUUUGCUGAGCUUUUGUUCCACCUUCCGUGUCAGUUUGGAGGUUUGUUUCUUCAUGCAAUUAUGUCAGGUUCAUUAUUUUUCUUGGGCAUAGAACACACUUCCAACCCACAUGUUGUGGUUUGAAUAUGUCCUCCAAAAAGCAUGUGUGGGAAACUUAGGCCCCAUGCAACAGUGUUGGGAGGUGGGGCCUAAUGGGAAGUGCUCAGGCCAUGAGGACUCUGCUUUCAUGAAUGGAGUAAUGCUGCUAUUCCAAGGGAGUGAGUUCCUUAUAAAAGGACAAGUUUGGCCCCCUUUUCCCACUUUCUUGUCCUCUCUUGCCCUUCCACCUUCUGCCAUGGAGUAAUGCAGCAAGAAGGCCUCGCCAGAUGCUGGUCCCUCGAUCUUGGACUUUCCAGUCUCCAGAACCACAAGCCAAUAAAUUCCUGUUGAUUAUAAAA
ensembl:lncRNA novel transcript